rnacentral:rRNA from 1 species
UACGGAGGGUGCGAGCGUUAAUCGGAAUUACUGGGCGUAAAGCGUGCGUAGGCGGUUUGAUAAGUCGGGUGUGAAAGCCCCGGGCUUAACCUGGGAAUUGCAUUCGAUACUAUCUGACUCGAGUCUGGGAGAGGGAAGCGGAAUUCCGGGUGUAGCGGUGAAAUGCGUAGAUAUCAGGAGGAACAUCAGUGGCGAAGGCGGCUUCCUGGCCUAAGACUGACGCUGAGGUACGAAAGCGUGGGGAGCAAACAGG